rnacentral:rRNA from 1 species
AAUGGACGAAAGUCUGACCGAGCAACGCCGCGUGAGUGAAGAAGGUUUUCGGAUCGUAAAACUCUGUUGUUAGAGAAGAACAAGGAUGAGAAGAGAAUGUUCAUCCCUUGACGGUAUCUAACCAGAAAGCCACGGCUAACUACGUGCCAGCAGCCGCGGUAAUACGUAGGUGGCAAGCGUUGUCCGGAUUUAUUGGGCGUAAAGCGAGCGCAGGCGGUUUCUUAAGUCUGAUGUGAAAGCCCCCGGCUCAACCGGGGAGGGUCAUUGGAAACUGGGAGACUUGAGUGCAGAAGAGGAGAGUG